AACUCUAGAGUUUGAUCAUGGCUCAGGAUUAACGCUGGCGGCAUGCCUAAUACAUGCAAGUCGAACGGAGUAGCAAUACUUAGUGGCGAACGGGUGAGUAACACGUAUCUAAUCUACCAUUUAGUGGGGAAUAACUGUUGGAAACGACAGCUAAUACCGCAUAAUAUUGCUGGAUAAUUUCCAGUAAUGAAAGGAGCUUUCAAGCUCCGCUGAUUGAUGAGGAUGCGGCGCAUUAGCUAGUUGGUAGGGUAAUGGCCUACCAAGGCAAUGAUGCGUAGCCGAUCUGAGAGGAUGAACGGCCACAUUGGGACUGAGACACGGCCCAAACUUCUACGGAAGGCAGCAGUAGGGAAUUUUUCACAAUGGGCGAAAGCCUGAUGGAGCAAUGCCGCGUGACUGAUGAAGGUCUUCGGAUUGUAAAGGUCUGUUGUAAGGGAAGAAAUGGUAAAACAGGAAAUGGUUUUAUCUAUGACGGUACCUUACCAGAAAGCCACGGCUAACUAUGUGCCAGUAGCCGCGGUAAUACAUAGGUGGCAAGCGUUAUCCGGAUUUAUUGGGCGUAAAGGGUGCGUAGACGGUUUUGCAAGUCUGAGGUUAAAUUUAGGAGCUCAACUCCUAAUCGCCUUGGAAACUACAAGACUAGAGUAUAGGAGAGGUUAGUGGAAUUCCAUGUGUAGCGGUGGAAUGUGUAGAUAUAUGGGAGGAACACCAGUGGCGAAG
rnacentral:rRNA from 1 species